GCGGCGGCUCGGCACGGCGGCGCCCGGCGCAGGCGAGCGGGUGGAGCAGCGGACGGCGCCCAGGCCGCCCCACGCGCCGGGCUCGCGGCGGAGCGCGCCGGACUCGUCGGAGCCCGCGGCCGCCCGCGCCUUUCAAUGGGCAGCUCGCACUUGCUCAACAAGGGCCUGCCGCUCGUCAGACUUUGACCCGGCGCAGGCUCGGUGGCCGCUGUGGACGGGAGCCUAGGAGCUUUGGUUCGAGACAAUUAAAGACGCGGGAUGAGCAUCCAGUGACAGGACGCGGUUCUGCAGGGGAUUCUGAAGAUAGACGCUUUGAAAAGCGGAAUUCAUGGUCGAGGAAGCCGAGCCUGUAUUAAGAGAUGUCAGGUUGGUGGGGGCUCUGGAGCGCCAAACCGCCCGCAGCCGGCCGGUGCCCCGCGCGGGUCAGGACAGGGUCGCCCCGCCGUGGGGCCCGCUGCUGCGUUUCUGGAGGUGCCCGGGGGCAGGCAGCUGGGGUCUGUUUCUGUGGAGCAUCCCCGGGGGGGCCGCAGCUCAGCCAGGCCGCUGGCACGGGCUUUCUUCUGGACGGUCCUGCGGCCUCACUGUGGGUCAGGCUGUCGUUGCUGAGACCCAAGAGCUGGCCCGGCCCCAGCCGUGGGGUCCCGAGGCCUGACACCACGUCAGGGGCCGUCCCGUCGGUCACGGGGUCCUCCCUCGGGGGUUCCCGUCUGCCCGCACCCGGCCCCCCUCCACGGUGGUCUCGGCACACGGCUCUGCAACCACGUCACGGCUGAGAACCCGUCGUGGAUGCUCAGGGCUUGGUUCUCGUGAUGGCGGAUCCCUGUGCUAAGAGGAAAGCUGAGCGAGGCUGGGAGCAGGUGUUUACCACGCCUCAGAUAAGUAACAUUUUAAGGGAAAGGUGGGGAGUUCCCUGGUGGCUCAGGGGGCUGAGGAUCCAUUAUCGUCACGGCUAUGGUAAGAGUUGGAUCCCUGGCCCGGGAACUUCUGUACUCUUGUGGGCAUAGCCAAAUAAGUAAUAAAAGGUGGAGCUCCCACAGAGGCUCAGCAGGUUAAGAACCUGCCACAACGUCCUUGAGAAUGAAAGUUCAGCCCCUGGCCUGGAAACUUCCAUAUGCUGCAGGCGUGGCCCCAAAAAGAAAAAAGUAAGGCGUCCGACCUCCGAUCAUGAACGGGCCCAUGCACCCCCGGCCCCUGGUGGCGCUGCUAGACGGCCGGGACUGCACCGUGGAGAUGCCCAUCCUCAAGGACGUGGCCACGGUGGCCUUCUGUGACGCCCAGUCCACGCAGGAGAUCCAUGAGAAGGUGCUGAACGAGGCCGUGGGCGCGCUCAUGUAUCACACCAUCACCCUGACCCGGGAGGACCUGGAGAAGUUCAAGGCCCUUCGCAUCAUCGUCCGAAUCGGCAGCGGCUUCGACAACAUCGACAUCAAGUCAGCCGGGGACUUGGGCAUCGCGGUGUGCAAUGUGCCAGCCGCGUCCGUGGAGGAGACCGCUGACUCGACCAUGUGCCACAUCCUCAACCUGUACCGCAGGACCACGUGGCUGCACCAGGCGCUGCGGGAGGGCACGCGGGUCCAGAGCGUCGAGCAGAUCCGAGAAGUGGCUUCCGGGGCCGCCAGGAUCCGCGGGGAGACCUUGGGCAUCAUCGGAUUAGGUCGCGUGGGGCAGGCGGUGGCGCUGCGGGCCAAGGCCUUCGGCUUCAACGUGCUCUUCUACGACCCCUACCUGGCGGACGGCACGGAGCGGGCGCUGGGGCUGCAGCGGGUCAGCACCCUGCAGGACCUGCUCUUCCACAGCGACUGCGUGACCCUGCACUGCGGCCUCAACGAGCACAACCACCACCUCAUCAACGACUUCACCGUCAAGCAGAUGAGACAAGGGGCCUUCCUGGUGAACACGGCCCGGGGCGGCCUGGUGGACGAGAAGGCGCUGGCCCAGGCGCUGAAGGAGGGGCGGAUCCGCGGCGCGGCCCUGGACGUGCACGAGUCGGAGCCCUUCAGCUUUAGCCAGGGCCCCCUGAAGGACGCUCCCAACCUGAUCUGCACCCCGCACGCAGCCUGGUACAGCGAGCAGGCCUCCAUCGAGAUGCGGGAGGAGGCGGCCCGCGAGAUCCGGAGAGCCAUCACAGGUGGGCGGCGGCCGGCGGCGGGUGGGCCCGAGGCCCUCGUGGGGGCCGCCUCCAUCUUCCGCUGGCGGGGACACUGCGCAGAGACCAGCCCCCAUGGGGGACCCCUGCACACGCACAGCCCCAGGUGCUGGUGUCACGCUCGUGACACUCACUGUCCCACAGGGCUUUCUGCACGUGUAUCUUUUCUCCGCCUUUUAAAAAGCGGUUUGUGCUUGUGAACCUCUUGGGCUGGGCCCUGCCAGCUUCUCCGGGAGAUGCCCGGGCCCGUCAGAUGGGCUCGGAGACCCUGAUGAGCUGAGGGGCCCCGGGCCACAAGGGUGACGCUGCCCAGACAGGCAGGAUCCCAAAGUGCCUCGGGAGUGCUCCUCGGGGCCCCUGUGGCUCCUAGGGGGGUGGCCCAUGCCACCGACGAGCCCCCACGCUCCUGGGGUCCCCCUGGGGGCAGCUGACGUGGGCACUGUCCCUGUCUGUGCCGUCUCCAGGCCGGAUCCCUGACAGCCUGAAGAACUGUGUGAACAAGGACCACCUGGCAGCAGCCACCCACUGGGCCAGCGUGGACCCAGCCGUGGUGCACCCCGAGCUCAACGGGGCCGCCUACAGCAGGUACCCCCGGGCGUGGUAGGCGUGGCCCCCAGUGGCAUCCCAGCCGCAGUCGAAGGCAUUGUCCCCAGCGCCAUGUCCCUGUCCCACGGCCUGCCCCCUGUAUCCCACCCGCCCCACGCGCCUUCUCCAGGCCAAACCGUCAAGCCCGAGGCGGAUAGAGACCACGCAAGCGACCAGUUGUAACCCGGGCAGAGCUCCGAAGCCUCGCCGCCGCCGCAAGCGCCGAAGGGGCCGCGCCCUCGGACAGGCGUGUGCAGGGGCAGCGCCGACGGGCGGCCGCGGCCUCCAGAGAUGGCCCGGGCUCCAGGUGGUGAGAGGUGGCGCCGGCCUCCUCGCGUCACUGUAGUUGUCCCGUCCCGAGGGCCAGCCGCUGCCCUGUGUCCUUCGCGUCCUUGUUAAGCAAAAGCAGUUCGUAGUUAAUUCCGUCAUGAAUGUUCCCGUCUGUGCACAGUCUCUAGAACAUUACAAGGAUUUGUUUGCUUAGCUGUCGGCAGAGACGCCCGCGGGAGCGCCGGCGUCCGCCCAGGCCGCCCCGUGAGUGCCGCGCGCCCCGGACCAGGCAGUUGGCAAACUUCUCAGGACAAUGAAUCCCUCCGGUUUUCUUUUUACGCCACACAGUGCAUUGUUUUUUCUACCUGCUUGUCUUAUUUUUAGGAUAAUUUAGAAAAGCAACACCCAGGCUGUCUUUCCUAAUUUUGGCAUGAACCCCCUUGUUCCAAACGAAGGCGGCGCCGCCAGGCGGGCAGAGCGUGCGCCUCUGCCCCGGGGGCCAGGGCCCCGCGCCCGCCGAGCGGAGCCGUCCUGCUGAUGUGGUAGGCUAGCAAUAUUUUGGUUAAAAUCAUGUUUGUGACUGUAACCAUUUGUAUGAAUUAUUUUAAAGAAAUAAAAAUCCCAGAAAGAG